rnacentral:rRNA from 1 species
CCGGCUAAAGCCCCGACGGGAGGGGAUGGCUCCGCGGCCCAUCAGGUAGACGGCGGGGUGACGGCCCACCGUGCCGACAACGGGUAGCCGGGUUGAGAGACCGACCGGCCAGAUUGGGACUGAGACACGGCCCAGACUCCUACGGGAGGCAGCAGUGGGGAAUCUUGCGCAAUGGGGGGAACCCUGACGCAGCGACGCCGCGUGCGGGACGGAGGCCUUCGGGUCGUAAACCGCUUUCAGCAGGGAAGAGUCAAGACUGUACCUGCAGAAGAAGCCCCGGCUAACUACGUGCCAGCAGCCGCGGUAAUACGUAGGGGGCGAGCGUUAUCCGGAUUCAUUGGGCGUAAAGCGCGCGUAGGCGGCCCGGCAGGCCGGGGGUCGAAGCGGGGGGCUCAACCCCCCGAAGCCCCCGGAACCUCCGCGGCUUGGGUCCGGUAGGGGAGGGUGGAACACCCGGUGUAGCGGUGGAAUGCGCAGAUAUCGGGUGGAACACCGGUGGCGAAGGCGGCCCUCUGGGCCGAGACCGACGCUGAGGCGCGAAAGCUGGGGGAGCGAACAGGAUUAGAUACCCUGGUAGUCCCAGCCGU